rnacentral:rRNA from 1 species
GACGAGCCACACGAACGUUAUUCGGAAUUACUGGGCUUAAAGGGUGCGUAGGCGGUGUGGAAAGUUGGGUGUGAAAUCCCUCGGCUCAACCGAGGAACUGCGCUCAAAACUACCGUACUUGAGGAAGAUAGAGGUGAGCGGAACUUACGGUGGAGCGGUGAAAUGCGUUGAUAUCGUAAGGAACACCCGUGGCGAAAGCGGCUCACUGGGUCUUUUCUGACGCUGAUGCACGAAAGCUAGGGGAGCAAACGGG